UACGUAGGGUGCGAGCGUUGUCCGGAAUUAUUGGGCGUAAAGGGCUCGUAGGCGGUUUGUCGCGUCGGGAGUGAAAUCCACUGGCUUAACUGGUGGCUUGCUUUCGAUACGGGCAGACUGGAGGUAUGCAGGGGAGAACGGAAUUCCUGGUGUAGCGGUGAAAUGCGCAGAUAUCAGGAGGAACACCGGUGGCGAAGGCGGUUCUCUGGGCAGUAACUGACGCUGAGACGCGAAAGCGUGGGGAGCGAACAGG
rnacentral:rRNA from 1 species